GUGGUUGUUGUUUGUGUGGUUGUUGUAGGUGACGUAAUGAUGGUUGCUGUGGUUAAUGGGGUAGUUGUUGGGGGAUCCAUGGUCGUUGUCUGUAUGGUUGUUGUAGGUGGUGUAGUGAUGGUUGUUGUGGUCAAUGGGGUAGUUACUGUUGCGAUCGUUGUUGUGGUUAAUGGGGUAGUUGUUGGGGGAUCUGUGGUUGUUGUUUGUGUGGUUGUUGUAGGUGGCGUACUGAUAGUUGUUGUGGUCAAUGGGGUAGUUGUUGUAACGGUUGUUGUGGUUAUUGAAGAAGUUGUUAGGGGACCUGUGGUUGUUGUUUGUGUGGUUGUUGUAGGUGGCGUACUGAUGGUUGUUGUGGUUAAUGG